UACGUAGGGUGCAGGCUAUUGAAUCGAUCUGGGCGUAAAGCGUGCGCAGGCGGUUUGCUAAGACAGGUGUGAAAUCCCCGGGCUUAACCUGGGAACUGCGCUUGUAACUGGCAAGCUAGAGUGUGGCAGAGGGGGUGGAAUUCCACGUGUAGCAGUGAAAUGCGUAGAGAUGUGGAGGAACACCGAUGGCGAAGGCAGCCCCCUGGGCUAACACUGACGCUCAUGCACGAAAGCGUGGGGAGCAAACAGG
rnacentral:rRNA from 1 species